rnacentral:rRNA from 1 species
AGAGUUUGAUCAUGGCUCAGAUUGAACGCUGGCGGCAGGCCUAACACAUGCAAGUCGAGCGGUAGCACAGAGAGCUUGCUCUCGGGUGACGAGCGGCGGACGGGUGAGUAAUGUCUGGGAAACUGCCUGAUGGAGGGGGAUAACUACUGGAAACGGUAGCUAAUACCGCAUAACGUCGCAAGACCAAAGUGGGGGACCUUCGGGCCUCAUGCCAUCAGAUGUGCCCAGAUGGGAUUAGCUAGUAGGUGGGGUAAUGGCUCACCUAGGCGACGAUCCCUAGCUGGUCUGAGAGGAUGACCAGCCACACUGGAACUGAGACACGGUCCAGACUCCUACGGGAGGCAGCAGUGGGGAAUAUUGCACAAUGGGCGCAAGCCUGAUGCAGCCAUGCCGCGUGUAUGAAGAAGGCCUUCGGGUUGUAAAGUACUUUCAGCGAGGAGGAAGGCGUUAAGGUUAAUAACCUUGGCGAUUGACGUUACUCGCAGAAGAAGCACCGGCUAACUCCGUGCCAGCAGCCGCGGUAAUACGGAGGGUGCAAGCGUUAAUCGGAAUUACUGGGCGUAAAGCGCACGCAGGCGGUCUGUCAAGUCGGAUGUGAAAUCCCCGGGCUCAACCUGGGAACUGCAUUCGAAACUGGCAGGCUAGAGUCUUGUAGAGGGGGGUAGAAUUCCAGGUGUAGCGGUGAAAUGCGUAGAGAUCUGGAGGAAUACCGGUGGCGAAGGCGGCCCCCUGGACAAAGACUGACGCUCAGGUGCGAAAGCGUGGGGAGCAAACAGGAUUAGAUACCCUGGUAGUCCACGCCGUAAACGAUGUCGACUUGGAGGUUGUGCCCUUGAGGCGUGGCUUCCGGAGCUAACGCGUUAAGUCGACCGCCUGGGGAGUACGGCCGCAAGGUUAAAACUCAAAUGAAUUGACGGGGGCCCGCACAAGCGGUGGAGCAUGUGGUUUAAUUCGAUGCAACGCGAAGAACCUUACCUACUCUUGACAUCCAGAGAACUUAGCAGAGAUGCUUUGGUGCCUUCGGGAACUCUGAGACAGGUGCUGCAUGGCUGUCGUCAGCUCGUGUUGUGAAAUGUUGGGUUAAGUCCCGCAACGAGCGCAACCCUUAUCCUUUGUUGCCAGCGGUCCGGCCGGGAACUCAAAGGAGACUGCCAGUGAUAAACUGGAGGAAGGUGGGGAUGACGUCAAGUCAUCAUGGCCCUUACGAGUAGGGCUACACACGUGCUACAAUGGCAUAUACAAAGAGAAGCGACCUCGCGAGAGCAAGCGGACCUCAUAAAGUAUGUCGUAGUCCGGAUUGGAGUCUGCAACUCGACUCCAUGAAGUCGGAAUCGCUAGUAAUCGUAGAUCAGAAUGCUACGGUGAAUACGUUCCCGGGCCUUGUACACACCGCCCGUCACACCAUGGGAGUGGGUUGCAAAAGAAGUAGGUAGCUUAACCUUCGGGAGGGCGCUUACCACUUUGUGAUUCAUGACUGGGGUGAAGUCGUAACAAGGUAACCGUAGGGGAACCUGCGGUUG